AUUGAACGCUAGCGGCAGGCCUAACACAUGCAAGUCGAACGGUAACAGGAAGAAGCUUGCUUCUUUGCUGACGAGUGGCGGACGGGUGAGUAAUGUCUGGGAAACUGCCUGAUGGAGGGGGAUAACUACUGGAAACGGUAGCUAAUACCGCAUAACGUCGCAAGACCAAAAAGGGGGACCUUCGGGCCUCUUGCCAUCGGAUGUGCCCAGAUGGGAUUAGCUAGUAGGUGGGGUAACGGCUCACCUAGGCGACGAUCCCUAGCUGGUCUGAGAGGAUGACCAGCCACACUGGAACUGAGACACGGUCCAGACUCCUACGGGAGGCAGCAGUGGGGAAUAUUGCACAAUGGGCGCAAGCCUGAUGCAGCCAUGCCGCGUGUAUGAAGAAGGCCUUCGGGUUGUAAAGUACUUUCAGCGGGGAGGAAGGGAGUAAAGUUAAUACCUUUGCUCAUUGACGUUACCCGCAGAGGAAGCACCGGCUAACUCCGUG
rnacentral:rRNA from 1 species